AGAAUAGUAUUUAAUACAUAUAAAACCUAAUUUGCACUUAGAAAUUGCUUAUGCCUAUUC
rnacentral:tRNA from 1 species